GGUUGCGAUCAUACCAGCACUAAUGCACCGGAUCCCAACAGAACUCCGCAGUUAAGCGUGCAUGGGCGAGAGUAGUACUAGGAUGGGUGACCCCCUGGGAAGUCCUCGUGUUGCAACCC
rnacentral:rRNA from 2 species